GGGCGAGUAGCUCAGUUGGUCAGAGCGCUUCUCUUACAAGGAAGAGGUCGCAGGUUCGAGUCCUGCCUCGCCCA
rnacentral:tRNA from 1 species